GACGAACGCUGGCGGCGUGCUUAACACAUGCAAGUCGAACGGUGAAGCGCCUUCCUUUUUGGUGGGUGUGGAUGAGUGGCGAACGGGUGAGUAACACGUGAGUAACCUGCCCCCUUCUUCUGGAUAACCGCAUGAAAGUGUGGCUAAUACGGGAUAUUCUGGGUCUGUCGCAUGAUGGGUCUGGGAAAGAUAUUGUUUCGGUGGGGGAUGGGCUCGCGGCCUAUCAGCUCGUUGGUGGGGUGAUGGCCUACCAAGGCGGUGACGGGUAGCCGGCCUGAGAGGGUGGACGGUCACACUGGGACUGAGACACGGCCCAGACUCCUACGGGAGGCAGCAGUGGGGAAUAUUGCACAAUGGGCGCAAGCCUGAUGCAGCGACGCCGCGUGAGGGAUGGAGGCCUUCGGGUUGUGAACCUCUUUCGCCAGUGAAGCAGGCCUGCCUCGUUUGUGGGUGGGUUGACGGUAGCUGGAUAAGAAGCGCCGGCUAACUACGUG
rnacentral:rRNA from 1 species